rnacentral:pre_miRNA from 1 species
GCAUUACUCCCUCCGUUCGGAAUUACUUGUCGCAGAGAUGGAUGUAUCUAGACAUAUUUUAGUUCUAGAUACAUCCAUUUUUGAGACAAGUAAUUCUGAACGGAGGGAGUACAUG